rnacentral:rRNA from 1 species
GACGAACGCUGGCGGCGUGCUUAACACAUGCAGGUCGAACGGAAAGGCCCUGCUUUUGUGGGGUGCUCGAGUGGCGAACGGGUGAGUAACACGUGAGUAACCUGCCCUUGACUUUGGGAUAACUUCAGGAAACUGGGGCUAAUACCGGAUAGGAGCUCCUGCUGCAUGGUGGGGGUUGGAAAGUUUCGGCGGUUGGGGAUGGACUCGCGGCUUAUCAGCUUGUUGGUGGGGUAGUGGCUUACCAAGGCUUUGACGGGUAGCCGGCCUGAGAGGGUGACCGGCCACAUUGGGACUGAGAUACGGCCCAGACUCCUACGGGAGGCAGCAGUGGGGAAUAUUGCACAAUGGGCGGAAGCCUGAUGCAGCAACGCCGCGUGCGGGAUGACGGCCUUCGGGUUGUAAACCGCUUUCGACUGUGACGAAGCGUGAGUGACGGUAAUGGGUAAAGAAGCACCGGCUAACUACGUG